GAUGAACGCUGGCGGCGUGCCUAAUACAUGCAAGUCGAGCGAACGGACGAGAAGCUUGCUUUUCUGAUGUUAGCGGCGGACGGGUGAGUAACACGUGGAUACCCUACCUAUAUGUCUGGGAUAACUUCGGGACACCGGAGCUAACACCGUAUAAUAUUUUGAACCGCAUGGUUCAAAAGUGAAUGACGGUGUUGCUGUCACUAAUCGAUGGAUACGCGCUGCAUUAGAUAGUUGGUAAGGUAACGGCUUAGCACGGAAACGAUGCAUAGGCGACCUGAGAGGGGGAUCGGCCACACUGGAAGGGAGACACGGACCAUGCGACUAAGGGAGGGAGCAGUAGGGUAUGGUCGGCAGUGGGCGAAAGCCUUACGGAGCAGCGGCGCGUGAGUGAUGAAGGUCUUCGGAGCGGAAAACUCUGUUAUGAGGGAAGAACAGAUGUGUAAUGAACUGUGCACAUCUUGACGGUACCGAAUCAGAAAGCCACGGCUAACUACGUG
rnacentral:rRNA from 1 species